UACGUAGGGGGCGAGCGUUGUCCGGAAUUAUUGGGCGUAAAGCGCGCGCAGGCGGUCCUUUAAGUCUGAUGUGAAAGCCCUCGGCUCAACCGAGGAGGGUCAUUGGAAACUGGAGGACUUGAGUGCAGAAGAGGAAAGUGGAAUUCCAAGUGUAGCGGUGAAAUGCGUAGAGAUUUGGAGGAACACCAGUGGCGAAGGCGACUUUCUGGUCUGUAACUGACGCUGAGGCGCGAAAGCGUGGGGAGCAAACAGG
rnacentral:rRNA from 1 species